ACCCUGGUAGUCCGCACGGUAAACGAUGGAUGCCCGCUGUUUGCGAUAUACUGUGAGCGGGCCAAGAGAAAUCGUUAAGCAUCCCACCUGGGGAGUACGCCGGCAACGGUGAAACUCAAAGGAAUUGACGGGGGCCCGCACAAGCGGAGGAACAUGUGGUUUAAUUCGAUGAUACGCGAGGAACCUUACCCGGGCUUGAACUGCCAGUGAACGAUACAGAGAUGUUGAGGCCCUUCGGGGCGCUGGUGGAGGUGCUGCAUGGUUGUCGUCAGACUCGUGCCGUGAGGUGUCGGCUUAAGUGCCAUAACGAGCGCAACCCUUUUCAUUAGUUGCCAUCAGGUAAAGCUGGGCACUACUAGGUGAUACUGCCACCGUAAGGUGUGAGGAAGGUGGGGAUGACGUCAAAUCAGCACGGCCCUUACGUCCGGGGCUACACACGUGUUACAAUGGGAGGUACAGAGAGUCGGUGCAUGGCAAUAUGCAUCUAAUCCUAAAAGCCUUCCUCAGUUCGGAAUUGGGGUCUGCAACCCGACCCCAUGAAGCUGGAUUCGCUAGUAAUCGCGCAUCAGCCAUGGCGCGGUGAUUACGUUCCCGGGCCUUGUACACACCGC
rnacentral:rRNA from 1 species